UGAGCUAUUGUUGCUGUUGCUUCUGAACUACAAAAUGAUUUUUAAAUUUAUUAUUGAAUGAGACUGCAUAAAUGUAAUGCUUUAACUCUAGAUGUUUGUUUGUGUAAAUGCUGUGUGUGUGUUGAGUCCUGCGCGAGCGGGGAGCAGAGUUGCCAUGGAAACGGGGCAUCAACACAAAAACCGUUACUGGCAAGCAGUAAUCUCCGUCUCUCGCUGCAGUUUACACUGUUUUGGUCCUGUGCGAGCGGGGAGCAGAGUUGCCAUGGAAACGGGGCGUCAACACAAAAACCGUUACUGGCAAGCAGUAAUCUCCGUCUCUCGCUGCAGUUUACACUGUUUUGGAAACGGUUUAGUUUCUUCGAAAAAGUCCGUUAGCAUCUUAGCAGUUUUCAGGAGGACAGAAAGAAACUCUACAGAACAGAAGUGAAGCUCCAAGAUUUCAACAUUUCUGAAGGGAGAUUCUGACUUAGAAAUACAGGUGACCUGAAGAAGCUCAUGAAAAACAUGAAUAUGCCUUUUUCAGAAUACAUUUCACCAAUUUUAAGAAGUCCCUGACAUCAUAACCUUGUUUCCUUCUAAUGAACCUGGAACUGCAGAGUAAAUAUUGUUGACUCUGUGUCAGAUGGCUUGUUUUGUUCCUGGAUUCUUCAGUGAUGAUGAGCAGAGUCUGAGUGAACCUGCUGUCAGACAGGUUGGCCUGAUUGAUGAUGCCAUCGUCCAUCGCCGAUGGCUGAUAGACAUCACGAUGCUGCGCCGGAAACAGCGUCAUCAGCUCCAGUAUCUCGCCCGUGCAUCUGUUGUCAUGCGACAGAGAAGACACUUUCUAUAGACAGUUGUGAACGUGCUGACAGCUGGUUGCCCAGGCUAUGGAUUAAAGGUAAUACUGUUGGCCAGCAGAGCCCUGCUCACCCUGACGGCCCACCGCUGCUGUCAGACAACAUCUCCAAGAUGCUAUAAACUGCAGGACUAGAUGGCCAUCCCAAGGUUUCUAGAGAUUACAGCAGCUCCAGACUGAAUCCAAACUCACUCGUGAAGACUUCAGAUGACACCAACGCUCACAAAGACUACAGACGACAACUGUGCAUGAACACACAAAACAUUGGACACACAAAACAAAUAUUAUCCUUAUUUUGCCUAUAAGGGUAAAUUUGAUGAUUUUCAAACUGCUUUAUUGUAACGUCUCUUCUAUCUGUAAAUGAACAAUAUUUACUCUCUGAGUUGUGGACCUACAUGUCCCCUUUUAUUUGUAAGCAUCACUUUAAAAAUGUUGAAAGAUAAUGUUAAUGUUAACUGAAUACAAAACUAGAGACUUGUUUAGUAAGAUUUUAUCAGAAAAUAUUUUUGAACUUUUAUCAUGCAAUUUAAAACAUUUUAAUUGCUUAAUUAGUAUUGUUUGCCUGGUUUUAUUUUGUGUUUAUGUAACUCUUUUUAAAAAGUUCUUGGCAUAAAGUUCGCAUGCGAUGCUGACAGCACUGAACACAUGACUUUUUAUUAUGAACUAGAUGGUCUUCCCAGUGAGUCUCAGUCAUCUCUGGCUUUUUAAACUGUAACCUUGAAACAUGCAUUUCCUGUAAACCUACUUUGAAAUAAGUAUUGUCAAAAGGUGCUAUACUCAUACAACAUUUAACCAUGCAAGUACUGUAGUAAUGGUUAUUUUUGUUUUUACUAUGGGUUUACUGCAAAAGCUGUAGUAAAAUCAUGGUGAUUGUAGUAAAACUAUGGUUGAUUUUGUUUUUUCUAUGGUUUUACUGCAAAAGCUGUAGUAUAAUCAUGGUUAAUGUUCAAAAGACUACAAAUAAUCCCGAAUUAUCCACUUUUGAUCAAAGCAUCUGGUAAAUGUUAAUGUAUUUGUACAUGUAAUAGGAAAUAAAUGAAAAUAUUAAUAAA